UUCGUAUAGUUUCUGCCAACAAUCUUUGGACAUUUGCAAACAUGAUUCAUCUCUGUUUUAUAUAUCCUCGAUUGGAAUAGCUUUUCUUCUUGAGGUUUUCUUGGUAGAUGGGAAAGCCUGAGACCACUUAUUGAAGCUAUAGCCAGAUCCAAGCAUUCCUGCAUAUUGCUUGCUUAAGUUGGCCAUUUGACCAGGCGAAUUUCUAUCCCACAUACCCCAAAUCCUUAGUGUUACACAAUGCAACAUCCUGCAAUGCUUUGAUUUGAUUUAUUUUCCUUAUUUUAAGCCAUUUCUGAAAAUCUUUGAUCUGGAGAAGAUGAUUUCUGGUAGUGCAUGGUGCUCAAUCCAUAUCCAUUAGAUUCAUAUUAGAAGAGGAGUUAAUAAUGGCCAUUGAUUUUGCAUAGUAUAGUGCAUACCUUGACAUAUUUAUCUGAAUAUAUCUGAUUGCCAAAGGAUCCAUUCCUAGGAUGCAUGGAAGUGAUAAGCUUUGGCUCCAUUCUGUUCAUAUUAUAACUUUGAACAUUAAAAUUACUUCUAGUGGAACUAAACCUGAUCCAGAUAGGUCAGCAUUUAUUAACAUGUGAUUUGUUUUUGGAGCAUAUUCUGUUCAUUUUACCUACUUUAUCACCUCAUUAUCCAAAUCCUUCCUAUUUCUUAUCAGAAACCUUACUUGACCCACCAAAUUACGUUUCUAUUAGCUUAUGAUUAUUCACCUUUUUUUUAAAGCACUGGAAGCCACAAUGAGAUAAAUAUUUACUAUGAUAUGUUCAAAAUUAGGUUUUUUUUUUCAGAACUAUAUAUCUUGCAAUAUCAAGUGUCACAUUCAGAUUGCACAGAGAUGUCUUCUACAAGUGGACAAUAAUUCACUUACAAUAUACACCUGCUCUUUUAUUUAUUUAUUUAUUUUUCUGUUCAUUGUAUCAUGCUCUUUUAACUGGGAAUCAUUUUACUCCAUAGUUCAUCUUCUUAUUCUCCAAGUUCUCAUAAGCUAUUUUCUAAAGCACCUUCAACUUAGGUGCUAGGACCAUGUCAAUACUUAUGUACUGUAUCUCAACCAGAUCUAUUUAAUCUGGGAGUUAACUCAUGCUGAUCUGUACUGGAUAAUGCAUAAUAUGCCAAACAUGGUAUUGGCGCCCACAAGGUGAUGAUUCCAACAGCAUUUUGCUGGUACAGUGCUUUUGCCAGCUACUUUGCUUGAUGGACACAGUACUGGAAUGCAUGCAUGUUAUAUUGUAAAUAGAUUUUACCACAUUUUGUUCUUAAGCAUUCUUUAAGGUCCAACUUAUUCAAUAUUCAAUAGAAAAUCUCUUUCAUUUUUGUGCUUGAAGUCUGUAAAUGUCAAAAAGUUUAGGAGAAAUAUAAAUUCAUACUGUAAGGAAAAAUGUCCCGAUCCUGAUUUUUUCUCAUCCAACCAUUUCCUCUGCCGCAUUCAUUUCCAUCCCUGAUCUUCCUCUUUAUUUGCGUCAGCUAUUUCCAGCCAGAGUGAUAAGUCCGGAUCACCAACUGCUAACUAAAUCAUAUCAUCAUUUUGCAGACAGAAGAUGUGGAAUGGAUGAUGUUCCAGAGACUGACUUCCUCAGUUGGAUUUCUCUACAACAUAUCAUUUGAGCUCUUAUAUACCAAAUACAGCAGGGCAGGCCUCCCUCGCUAAGGACUGUCACCCCUACAGCCACUGAUGAUUUGACACCCCCUACUGUAGGGGUUGGCCUUUGGGAAGCUAUGGCAAUUGUAGUAAGGGACUCCAGGUUUGGAGCAAGGCACCACAUCCCCCUUGAGAGCCUCAUAGCUUAUGUACUUCUUCUCGGUGACAGCCCAUAGCAGCCUCCUGUUCUCCUCUGAGUUCAUCUCCAACACCACCCCAUCCUCCAGCAAGCAUCUUCCAACUUUUCUACUGCAAGGCAGCUUCGCCACCACCUCCACAGCAGUGCUCUUCUCCAGGAGGAGGAGAACAAGGAGAAGUGACACCAACAUGGGCGGAGUCUUCCUCGGAGUGAAGCCUGAGCUGAGCUUUGCCAUGACUUCUUCUUGCUCGUUUGUGACCUGCCUUCUCUUUGUUUCUGUGGGUGAGAGGCUUUAAUGAGAUGUCAGCUCUUCCACCUACUUUGGCUUCGCGGUCCGGGAGGAGCAGCAGCAACCAAGUCAUUGACUUCACACUGCUUUUAUGGGUGCGCGGACAAAUGGAUAGUGGAAUAUGGACUUUAUUAUUAGUAUAACUCAUGGUACAUUAUAAGAUUAUCAUUUUAUACGUGGAUUAUCUAAUUCACUUA